GCAAGUCGAGCGGACAGAUGGGAGCUUGCUCCCUGAUGUUAGCGGCGGACGGGUGAGUAACACGUGGGUAACCUGCCUGUAAGACUGGGAUAACUCCGGGAAACCGGGGCUAAUACCGGAUGCUUGUUUGAACCGCAUGGUUCAAACAUAAAAGGUGGCUUCGGCUACCACUUACAGAUGGACCCGCGGCGCAUUAGCUAGUUGGUGAGGUAACGGCUCACCAAGGCAACGAUGCGUAGCCGACCUGAGAGGGUGAUCGGCCACACUGGGACUGAGACACGGCCCAGACUCCUACGGGAGGCAGCAGUAGGGAAUCUUCCGCAAUGGACGAAAGUCUGACGGAGCAACGCCGCGUGAGUGAUGAAGGUUUUCGGAUCGUAAAGCUCUGUUGUUAGGGAAGAACAAGUACCGUUCGAAUAGGGCGGUACCUUGACGGUACCUAACCAGAAAGCCACGGCUAACUACGUGCCAGCAGCCGCGGUAAUACGUAGGUGGCAAGCGUUGUCCGGAAUUAUUGGGCGUAAAGGGCUCGCAGGCGGUUUCUUAAGUCUGAUGUGAAAGCCCCCGGCUCAACCGGGGAGGGUCAUUGGAAACUGGGGAACUUGAGUGCAGAAGAGGAGAGUGGAAUUCCACGUGUAGCGGUGAAAUGCGUAGAGAUGUGGAGGAACACCAGUGGCGAAGGCGACUCUCUGGUCUGUAACUGACGCUGAGGAGCGAAAGC
rnacentral:rRNA from 1 species